rnacentral:rRNA from 1 species
GGAGCACAGGUGCUGCAUGGCUGUCGUCAGCUCGUGUCGUGAGAUGUUGGGUUAAGUCCCGCAACGAGCGCAACCCCGUCCUUAGUUGCUACCAUUUAGUUGAGCACUCUAAGGAGACUGCCGGUGAUAAGCCGCGAGGAAGGUGGGGAUGACGUCAAGUCCUCAUGGCCCUUACGGGCUGGGCUACACACGUGCUACAAUGGCGGUGACAAUGGGAUGCAAAAGGGCAACCUCGCAAAUCUCAAAAAGCCGUCUCAGUUCGGAUUGGGCUCUGCAACUCGAGCCCAUGAAGUUGGAAUCGCUAGUAAUCGUGGAUCAGCAUGCCACGGUGAAUACGUUCCCGGGCCUUGUACACACCGCCCGUCACACCAUGGGAGUUGGUUUUACCUGAAGACGGUGCGCUAACCCGCAAGGGAGGCAGCCGGCCACGGUAGGGUCAGCGACUGGGGUGAAGUCGUAACAAGGUAGCCGUAGGGGAACCUGCGGCUGGAUCACCUCCUUUCUG